rnacentral:rRNA from 1 species
AUGGCCAUCGUGGCGGCGUUGGAGGCUGAGGUGGUGGGCUUGGUGGAGACAGAGGAGCACGUCCAGCGCAUCCUCCUCGCCAUCGACAACUUCACCCGCAAGGUGUCGGGGAUGCUGGACUCCGGGCGCGCCAUGCUCAAGGACCUCGCCGCCGACUUCGAGGACCGCCUUGUCAGGAUCCACAAGGAGAGGGUGAACAAGUGGGAGGAGGAGAUACUGGGGGCCCGUGACGCCGCCAACGAGCAGACCCGCGCCAUCCUCCACAGCGCCCAGCUGCAGCUCUUCCACAUCCGCCAGCCCAGUAGUCAGUCAGCAGAGUUCAACUACCCGUGCGAGAGCGGCAAUUUGGUGCCCGGGCUCGGAUGA